AUGUUACUCCCUCUGUUCGGAAUUACUUGUCUCGAAAAUGGAUGUAUCUAGAACUAAAAUAUGUCUAGAUACAUCAAUUUCCGCGACAAGUAAUUCCGAACGGAGGAAGUAUGUG
rnacentral:pre_miRNA from 1 species